CCUACGGGUGGCAGCAGUGAGGAAUAUUGGUCAAUGGACGCAAGUCUGAACCAGCCAUGCCGCGUGAAGGAAGACGGCUCUAUGAGUUGUAAACUUCUUUUGUAGGGGUGUAAAGGCAGACACGUGUAUCUGUCUGAAAGUAUCCUACGAAUAAGCAUCGGCUAACUCCGUGCCAGCAGCCGCGGUAAUACGGAGGAUUCAAGCGUUAUCCGGAUUUAUUGGGUUUAAAGGGUGCGUAGGCGGACGGUUAAGUUAGAGGUGAAAUUCCGGGGCUCAACAUCGGAAUUGCCGUUGAAACUGGACGGCUAGAGAGUAGUAGCGGUAGGCGGAAUGUGUGGUGUAGCGGUGAAAUGCUUAGAGAUCACACAGAACGCCGAUUGCGAAGGCAGCUUACCAAGCUACAACUGACGUUGAGGCACGAAAGCGUGGGGAGCAAACAGGAUUAGAUACCCGGGUAGUC
rnacentral:rRNA from 1 species